rnacentral:rRNA from 1 species
UACGGAGGGUGCAAGCGUUGUCCGGAUUUAUUGGGUUUAAAGGGUGCGUAGGUGGGCUAUUAAGUCAGUGGUGAAAGCCUGCAGCUCAACUGUAGAACCGCCAUUGAUACUGAUAGUCUUGAGUAUGGUUGAGGUAAGCGGAAUUUAUGGUGUAGCGGUGAAAUGCAUAGAUACCAUAAGGAACACCGAUAGCGAAGGCAGCUUACUGGGCCGUUACUGACACUGAUGCACGAAAGCGUGGGGAGCAAACAGG